GACGAACGCUGGCGGCGUGCUUAACACAUGCAAGUCGAACGGAAAGGCCCCUUUGGGGGUACUCGAGUGGCGAACGGGUGAGUAACACGUGAGUAACCUGCCCUUGACUUCGGGAUAACUUCAGGAAACUGGGGCUAAUACCGGAUAGGAAUCCUUGCUGCAUGGUGGGGGUUGGAAAGCUUCGUCGGUUUUGGAUGGACUUGCGGCUUAUCAGCUUGUUGGUGGGGUAGUGGCUUACCAAGGGCUUGACGGGUAGCCGGCCUGGGAGGGCUACCGGCCACAGUGGGACUGAGAUACGGCCCAGACUCCUACGGGAGGCAGCAGUUGGGAAUAUUGCACAAUGGGCGGGAGCUGGAUGCGGCAACGCCGCGUGCGGGAUGACGGCCUUCGAGUUGUAAACCGCUUUCAGCAGGGGCGAAGCUUGUGGUGACGGUACCUGCAGAAGAAGCACCGGCUAACUACGUG
rnacentral:rRNA from 1 species